AUUUAAAAUGGCCACCCUGAACGUGCCCAAUCUCAUCUGAUCUAGGAAGUCAAGCAGGGUUGGGCCUGGUUAGUACUUAGAUGGGAGACCACCUAGGAAGACCAGGUGCUGUAGGCA
rnacentral:rRNA from 1 species